CCUACGGGAGGCAGCAGUGAGGAAUAUUGGUCAAUGGGCGCUAGCCUGAACCAGCCAAGUAGCGUGAAGGAUGACUGUCCUAUGGGUUGUAAACUUCUUUUAUAUGGGAAUAAAGUGCAGUAUGUAUACUGCUUUGCAUGUACCUUAUGAAUAAGGAUCGGCUAACUCCGUGCCAGCAGCCGCGGUAAUACGGAGGAUCCGAGCGUUAUCCGGAUUUAUUGGGUUUAAAGGGAGCGUAGGCGGGUUGUUAAGUCAGUUGUGAAAGUUUGCGGCUCAACCGUAAAAUUGCAGUUGAUACUGGCAUCCUUGAGUACAGUAGAGGUAGGCGGAAUUCGUGGUGUAGCGGUGAAAUGCUUAGAUAUCACGAAGAACUCCGAUUGCGAAGGCAGCCUGCUGGACUGUAACUGACGCUGAGGAGCGAAAGCGUGGGUAGCAAACAGGAUUAGAUACCCUAGUAGUC
rnacentral:rRNA from 1 species